GGCCAGAGGUCAGAGGAGAGGGAGGCAACAUGGAGGCAGAAGAACAGGAAGAUGAUCCAGACCCUGCGUGGUUUUAAACAGCCACAAGCAGCUAAGGUUUUUCACAAGAUUACUGUGGUACAAAUGACGACUGAGCACCAGAGCACAUUAAAACACCUCAGCACAGUGGCUACAGUAGAUGGAUCAACAGAUAGAAGCCAUUAUUGCUAUUAUCACUUGUAUAGUUAUCAUCUAAGACUAAAGUCAUUGUGACUAGAG